rnacentral:rRNA from 1 species
GUGGGGAAUAUUGGACAAUGGGCGAAAGCCUGAUCCAGCAAUGCCGCGUGAGUGAUGAAGGCCUUAGGGUUGUAAAGCUCUUUUACCAGGGAUGAUAAUGACAGUACCUGGAGAAUAAGCUCCGGCUAACUCCGUGCCAGCAGCCGCGGUAAUACGGAGGGAGCUAGCGUUGUUCGGAAUUACUGGGCGUAAAGCGCACGUAGGCGGUUACUCAAGUCAGAGGUGAAAGCCCGGGGCUCAACCCCGGAACUGCCUUUGAAACUAGGUAACUAGAAUCUUGGAGAGGUCAGUGGAAUUCCGAUUGUAGAGGUGAAAUUCGUAGAUAUUCGGAAGAACACCAGUGGCGAAGGCGACUGACUGGACAAGUAUUGACGCUGAGGUGCGAAAGCGUGGGGAGCAAACAGGAUUAGAUACCCUUGUAGUCC